AUGGAAGAGAAUGUUCCACGUACCUAUCGGAGUCGCUCCGAUGACGAUUCUACGGAGGCGGAAAAAGAAACGGAAACCUCGAUUAUUGCUGUUGUGUACUCCAGGUAUUUCCUUCUUGCUCUUACUUUUAUUCCUUCUUUGUCUUCUGUGAUCUUUGCCUCUUCUUCAACUUUCUGUGUGCGUAUGAAUUGUAGUCUAUGA